rnacentral:rRNA from 1 species
AUGUCUAGCCUUACGACCAUCAGUGGCGGCGCCAUGGAGGAGUUGCAGGAAGUAGAGGAGCUCGUCGACACAAGGCUGUCCCUCGUGAUCGGCGCCGCGAGCCGUCCGCCGACGGUCCUGGCGCUGCUGCCGGCGACAUCACCAGAGAACGAAGCGGCGGCACGUAGGAAGAGGAAGGGACAAGAGAACGGUGCAGGCGGCGUCGCUGCUACUUCAAGGCAGCAUAACAAGAGGGCCAAGACGGUGCAAAACAGCAGCGACGUCGACGACGAUGGUGGUGACGCGGCGCGGGACGGGACGAGGAAGAAGCUCAAGCUCACGGUGGAGCAGGCCGCGCUGCUGGAGGAAAGCUUCCGCGCCCACAACGUCCUCUCUCACGGUGAGAAGCACGAUCUUGCGAGGCAGCUUGGGUUGAAGCCGAGGCAGGUGGAGGUGUGGUUCCAGAACAGGAGGGCGCGCACCAAGCUCAAGCAGACGGAGCUCGACUGCGAGCUGCUGCGCCGGUGGUGUGAGCGCCUCAGCGACGACAACGCGCGGCUCCGGCGAGAGCUCGCCGAGACGCUCUCCUGGUCGCCGGCCUUCUUGUCCAGGCUCACGAUGGCUAACGAUAAGGCUGUGUGUUCGUCCUGCAGCAAGCUCACCAGCGGCCGGAUGCCGGCAUGA